GAGUAAUGGGUUUUAUGUAAAAACGAGUUUCAACCCGUUUUCGUUAGGUUUUCGUUGUUUUCAGCUUCCGCCCCCCCUCCCCCCCGGGCUUCAUCUCUCUCACUCUCUCGCCGAAACCUAGCUUACUGCCGAUCAAAGUGUCGUCUUCAUCCUCGUGCCGUCAUCUCUGUUUUGUGGCUCUGUCUUUAUCCUCGUCUCACUGUCUCUUCUCUCUCUCUGUCUCACGCCGAAACCCUAGCCUCCUCUGCCGAUCAAAGCGUCGUUUUUAUCCUCGUGUCGUCGUUUUCAUCCACGGGCAAAACUUGGGUCUCACCGUCAGUGAGAUAUGCAGUUGUUUCCAUGAUUUAUUUGGCCAUUCCACCUUUAUCACCUAGCCUGCGAGAUGCUAUAUAUAUCUCUUUCUGAUAGAGAAGCUAGCUUGACCCUAAAAGGUACGUUUUAAAUAAUCUUUUUGAGCCUUUCUUUCAUAAGACUUAAAGUGCAUAAAAUUGUUAUUUUUUGCAAUUAUUUAGUUGUACGAGAUUAAUUGACCCAUAAAAUAGUUUAGGGUAAUGAAUUAAACGAGACAUAUCAUGUUGGAAUUUAGGAACCCAAUUAAAUUUGAGGAUAUGAAAAUGCUUCUGUAUCAAUUUUUGAUUGGAGGGUGUAAAAUGGACUUUUACACUGCUCCCUGUUUUAAGAUUAAUAAUAUAUAUAGAGAGAGAGAAAGAAAAGAAAAGAAAAAUAAAAUACUAAGGUAAACGGGUAAAACAACAUUGGCAGAAUAAACACCAGCAUUCAUCAUAAUUGGCCCCCUAAUAUCGCCAAGCCAAAUGUCAUGCUUAAUUCUUCCAUCAAACAUCAUGUUCAUGUUAAGUCAGAUUUUUCAAGAUCGAAUCCUUUGUUUAGAUUUUGUGUCGAACUUUAAAAUUAAGGAGAGGUAGAAACUAUUUUGCAACCACUCAGCUGGACAUGAUUUGCUUAAUAUGUCACCACGAAAGUGGAAGAUCCCAUGGAGAGUGGGUUUUAGAGCUCGUUUGG